AUUAUUAUUAUUAUUAUUAUUUAUGGCAUCUAUUGCACUCAGGGGGAGGCUAUGUCUACACUUGUGGGCCAUACACAACGUGUAUCCUCUGUUGUUUGGCCAGAACAUGAAACAAUCUACUCUGCAUCAUGGGAUCACUCUAUCAGACGUUGGGAUGUUGAGACAGGCCAAGAUUCAGCAAAAAUAUUCUGUGGAAAAGCUCUCAACUACCUUCAUGUUGGAGGUGAAGGUUCAGCUCUCAUUGCUGCUGGGGCCUCUGACCCCAUCCUUAGGAUAUGGGAUCCACGAAAACCAGGAACUCCUGCUCCUAUUUAUCAGUUCUCUUCUCACACUUCUUGGGUUUCGGCUUGCAAGUGGCAUGAUAAAUCUUGGUUUCAUUUACUUUCUGCAUCCUAUGAUGGGAAAGUUAUGUUGUGGGAUCUAAGAACUGCGGUAGUGUAUGCUCUUUUACUUUCAACUAUCUCUGGCUUUGCCUAGACCAAAUAAACAAGUGAAGUGACUUAGUUUCACUCUUCUGCAUUGCAAUUCUGAGUAGCAUAGUAGUGUUCUGAAUAGUUUGUUGUCAUUGCAGUGGCCUCUGGCUGUUAUUGAAUCACACGAAGACAAGGUGCUAUGUGUUGAUUGGUGGAGGGGUGACAAUUUAGUCAGUGGUGGGGUUGACUGCAAGCUAUGCAUUUCUUCUGAUUCUUCUGUGCAGUAAGGUAAGAAUUGUAAUGCAUUUAUUUGGCUAUAGAUAUGUUAUAAAUUUAGUUUAAAAAAUGGCUUCUCUUCCCAUCCCAAUGCUUUUUCCUCUCUUUUGACAUUGCAUUCUGGGCAUAAGGUGUAUGACAGUAUUUGUGUGUCUUAAGUUUGGAUGAGGUCAGGCUACUGCUAUUUGGAAGCUGCUUUGUUCCCCCCUUUUCUCUUUUAGAAGGGAAGAGUUAAAAGCACUUCACUUGUUUUCCUUUGUAUUUUGAGAAUAUGCUUGUUUGAAACAAGUCACCUUUGGCAGAUAGUAAGCUUGCAUAUGCUUAAAAUGCAACAUGAUCAUUUUAGGUAUUUUACUUGCCUAUCCAUUGUUCAGUUCUUGAUGGGUGCAGUUGUUGUUAUCUUUUGAUUAAUAACUCCACCGUUUGAAUCCAUUGAUUGCGUUCUGGAGUAUGCUUUUACUUUUGUGACUGAAACUUCUUCUGUAUUGGAUGACUGAAGAAUGUUAAUAUAGCUGGAAAAUGUGUCAUUCAUUACCCCAUUAAAUGACUAAACUUCUGUGUCUUUUUUCUUCUUAAGGGAAGAAUUAUAGAGAUAGAUGGAAGUAACUUCUGGAGAAGGUGUUUUUGAUACUGAAGGAACAUUUUCUGUCUCGGCCUUGUUAACUCAAGCGAGAUGGGGAAACCUGAUUCUGCAUCAACUGCGGAGCUGAAGCUGAUUGAAGAGUUUAAACUCUAGUCAAUUUUGUUCAAGACGCUUUGAUGUAAUGUGAAUAGUAGCAACUCUGAUUUAGUGUUUUUUUUUUUUUU
rnacentral:misc_RNA from 1 species